rnacentral:rRNA from 1 species
GACCCUACGGGGGGCAGCAGUCGGGAAUAUUGCGCAAUGGAGGAAACUCUGACGCAGUGACGCCGCGUGCAGGAAGAAGGUUUUCGGAUUGUAAACUGCUUUAGACAGGGAAGAAACAAGACAGUACCUGUAAAAUAAGCUCCGGCUAACUACGUGCCAGCAGCCGCGGUAAUACGUAGGGAGCAAGCGUUAUCCGGAUUUACUGGGUGUAAAGGGAGCGUAGACGGUUAUGUAAGUCUGGAGUGAAAGCCCGGGGCCCAACCCCGGGACUGCUUUGGAAACUGUGUAACUGGAGUCCAGGAGGG